CCUACGGGUGGCAGCAGUGAGGAAUCUUGGUCAAUGGUCGGGAGACUGAACCAGCCAAGCCGCGUGAGGGAGGAAGGUACAGAGUAUCGUAAACCUCUUUUGUCAGGGAACAAAGACUGGGACGCGUCCCCGGAUGAGUGUACCUGAAUAAAAAGCAUCGGCUAACUCCGUGCCAGCAGCCGCGGUAAUACGGAGGAUGCGAGCGUUAUCCGGAUUUGUUGGGUUUCAAGUGUGCGCAGGCGGUCUGUUAAGUCAGAGGUCAAAGCCCGGGGCUCAACCCCGGCCCGCCGUUGAAACUGGCAGGCUCGAGUUGGAGAGAAGUAUGCGGAAUGCGCGGUGUAGCGGUGAAAUGCAUAGAUAUCGCGCAGAACUCCGAUUGCGAAGGCAGCAUGCCGGCUCCACACUGACGCUGAGGCACGAAAGCGUGGGUAUCGAACAGGAUUAGAUACCCUUGUAGUC
rnacentral:rRNA from 1 species